GACGAACCGUGCGAACGUUGUUCGGAAUCACUGGGCUUAAAGGGCGCGUAGGCGGGCCAGCAAGUCAGGGGUGAAAUCCCACGGCUCAACCGUGGAAGAGCCUUUGAUACUGCGGGCCUCGAGGGAGGUAGGGGCGUGCGGAACUUCCGGUGGAGCGGUGAAAUGCGUAGAUAUCGGAAGGAACAUCGGUGGCGAAAGCGGCGCGCUGGACCUCUUCUGACGCUGAGGCGCGAAAGCCAGGGGAGCAAACGGG
rnacentral:rRNA from 1 species